rnacentral:rRNA from 1 species
GACGUAGGUGGCGAACGUUAUCCGGAAUUAUUGGGCGUAAAGAGCGCGUAGGCGGUCCGAUAAGUCGGCUGUGAAAGUCAGGGGCUCAACCCUUGAAAGCCGGCCGAUACUGUCGGACUAGAGUCCGGAAGAGGCAAGUGGAAUUCCCGGUGUAGCGGUGAAAUGCGCAGAUAUCGGGAGGAACACCAAUGGCGAAGGCAGCUUGCUGGGACGGUACUGACGCUGAGGCGCGAAAGCGUGGGGAGCAAACAGG